rnacentral:rRNA from 1 species
UACGGAGGGUGCAAGCGUUAUCCGGAUUCACUGGGUUUAAAGGGUGCGUAGGUGGGCAGGUAAGUCAGUGGUGAAAUCUCCGGGCUUAACCCGGAACUGCCGUUGAUACUAUCUGUCUUGAAUAUCGUGGAGGUAAGCGGAAUAUGUCAUGUAGCGGUGAAAUGCUUAGAUAUGACAUAGAACACCCAUUGCGAAGGCAGCUUACUACACGAUCAUUGACGCUGAGGCAACGAAAGCGUGGGGAGCAAACAGG